GACGAGGGAUCCUAGCGUUGUUCGGAGUUACUGGGCGUAAAGCGCUUGUAGGUGGCUUUGUAAGUUAAAUGUGAAAGCCUGGGGCUUAACCUCAGAAGUGCAUUUAAUACUGCAAAGCUUGAGUACGAGAGAGGAUGAUGGAAUUCCUGGUGUAGUGGUGAAAUACGUAGAUAUCAGGAGGAACAUCGGUGGCGAAGGCGGUCAUCUGGCUCGAUACUGACACUGAGAAGCGAAAGCGUGGGGAUCAAACAGG
rnacentral:rRNA from 1 species